rnacentral:tRNA from 1 species
CGUUAAGAAGCUAUGAACCAGCACUAGCCUUUUAAGCUAGAGAAAGGAGAUGCUCUCUCCCUUAAUGA